AGAUGACACCCUUUACCCGGUGUUUAGGGGGGAGCCGCUGGUUCCUCACCGGUGGUUUGGGUUGGGAGAACCCCAAAAGCCAGCGAGGAAAUUUGGGGAUGCUCCAGGCGCAAAUUGGGGGAAGCACGUGGGUUUUCUCCCCGGCCAUGGGGCUGGGCAGGGUUUGGGGCAGCUGGAAGUGCUUUUUCCUGGUGGCAAAGCCCCACAAAAGGGUGACAGUCCCCAUGGGGCCACCCAUGUCCCGGCGCCCCGACGCCACGAUGAUGGGCGCACGUCGCCGGGCGGAUUUGGUGACAUUUGGGCUCCCUCUGGUGGAAACGCCUGGGAGCUCCGGCCUGGCCCCCCACUGCCCGAGGAGAAGCAGCGGUGACCGAAGGGGACGAGCAGGGUUUUGGGGACACCGGGGGGGACACAGAAAUGGGACAGAAAUGCCCCCCCUGGGGGCAGCAAGGGGCCGGCGGAGCAGCGCUGCGCGGGGGAGAGCUUUGGGGACAGCGGCUUUGGGGACGUGUCGCCUGUCCACACGGUGGCACCAGGAGCCAGAGUGGUGUCCCCAGGACACAGGGAGCAUUUUGGGGUGCUGGCUGGGCUGCUCUGGAGCCCACAGCUUUUGUUGCAGGUGCUGGAAAGGAGAAAAGGGCCCUAAAGCUGCUCCUCGUGCUUCACCCCAUCGCCCUGUGCACCACCGCUUGCUCCUGGGGGGCUCUCCAAGUCACCCUCCCCAAACCCCCUCAGCUUCCCCAGCACCCCACAAGGUCACAAACCAUGAGUUUGGCUGAUGAUUCCUCCGUCCAAAUCCUCGUGCUCCGCACCAGCAGCCCCCUCAGCCCCCACACACCCUGGGACCCCCCAAGAUACCACCCCCUGGAGGCUCCCAGGUGUCCCUUUUAUCAGCUGUGCGGGCAAAACCCAAAAUGUGCUCACCUGGGUGAGUGGGAUCGUCACUGUUUUGACCUCAAGGCUCCUCUUACUGGGCUCCACAGUGGUCUGGGGGGUCCAACAUUCCCAAAAUGGUCCCCAUGCCACCGGUGGGGACAGGGACAUGGCACCAAGGGGCCACCAUCCCCCUGCCCGGACCCCGCAGUGCUCGUCCCUUGUCUCCCUCUGUCCCCAGUCACCCCCACAUCGGGGAGUGCCCCCAAUUCCCCCCUCCCCCCCAUCGUAGGGCCGCACGUUUCCCCGGGACCCACAGAAAUUGCACGAACGGGCGGCUGGGCCGUCGGCGUUUCUAAAAAUAAUAACUCAGACUGUGCCAAAAAAAGAAAAAAAGCUGUUUUUGGGGGAUUUUUUCCCACUAUUUUAAUAAGAAGCGUUCACAGUCCCCUCGGAAGAGGUCCCACAGGUGCCCGGCCCCCCAGGGACA
rnacentral:lncRNA from 1 species